GGUAAACGCUGGCGAUGUGCCUAAGACAUGCAAGUCGAACGGUAACAGGUUAAGCUGACGAGUGGCGAACGGGUGAGUAAUAUAUCGGAACGUGCCCAGUCGUGGGGGAUAACUGCUCGAAAGAGCAGCUAAUACCGCAUACGACCUGAGGGUGAAAGCGGGGGAUCGCAAGACCUCGCGCGAUUGGAGCGGCCGAUAUCAGAUUAGGUAGUUGGUGGGGUAAAGGCCCACCAAGCCAACGAUCUGUAGCUGGUCUGAGAGGACGACCAGCCACACUGGGACUGAGACACGGCCCAGACGCCUACGGGAGGCAGCAGUGGGGAAUUUUGGACAAUGGGCGCAAGCCUGAUCCAGCCAUGCCGCGUGCGGGAAGAAGGCCUUCGGGUUGUAAACCGCUUUUGUCAGGGAAGAAAAGGGUGUUUCUAAUACAGACGCCUCAUGACGGUACCUGAAGAAUAAGCACCGGCUAACUACGUGCCAGCCGCCGCCGUAA
rnacentral:rRNA from 1 species